rnacentral:lncRNA from 1 species
AUUUGAGUAUUGAAUUUGUUAAUUAGUGUAUUGAAUUAGUUUUUUUAUUGAUUGUUAGUUAGUAAGUGAAUGAUUUAGGGGUUUUUGAUGGUUAGUUUGAAUUAGGGAUUAUUUGAUUGUUAGUUUGUGUUUGUUGAUUGUGAAAUGAAAAUUUUAAUGUUGGGGUUUGUUUGAAUUAGGGUAUCUUAGGAUUUGUUUGAAAUUCGGUAUUUCUUGAGUUAAUUAGUUUGAUUUUGGAAUUGUAAGAUUAGAUUGAAUUAGGGUAUUUAAGGAGUUGUUUGAAUUUAGGAUUUUAGCACUAGUUAGAUUUUGGGAUUUUAGGACUAGUUUGAAUUUGUGAUUUCAAGACUAGUUUGAAUUUUGAAUUUAGGACUAGUUUGAAUUAUUAUUGAAGUUGAACUUAGAAUUUGAACAUGAAC